AAGAUAACCUGCUGGUGCUCACGUGUCCCGAAAAGAAGAAGAAUGAAAAUCCUGCCCUGUCGGAUUGAGUAUUACAUCAGGUACUGGUGUCGAUAUUC
rnacentral:pre_miRNA from 1 species